AUCAACCUUCUGUUCUGUUAAACCUGGGAAGAAAGAGGUUUCAAAGAGUUCUUCCUCUUUAUGAGCCUUCUUACAGCCAAAUCCACUGCAGGUGGUGAAGGUAGGGGAAAAUAGGCAUUGACUUGUGCAUCUGGAUGCUGGGGAUGGACCACUGACAAGUGUUUUCAUUGAUCUGAAAUUAGCAAGACCACAGGCCAGAGUUGUCUCAAAUCCUCAUGUAUAUAUGAAUCACCAGGGCAUCUUGUUAAGAUGCUGCAGGUUUAGGGAGGGGCAGAGAGUGUGCCUUUCUAACAAGCUUCCAGGUGAUAUUGAGAUCUUGAUGCAGCUGGUUCUCAGACCGUGCUUUGAGAAGCGAGGCUACGCUUACCUGGCAGUUUGCUUUUUGGAGAUUUAUCCCGAGGGAACAUGGAUAAUAAAAGCCGUAUUGGGUCAAGAAGUUUUCAUCUAAGAAGGAGGAUUGUGCAAUAGAAAGAGGACUAACGAGGAGCAGGAAAACCAGGGCUGAAUUCCAAGUUAUGCAACAAGCUAACUGAGUGCAUUUGGAUAAGCUAUAGCCUCUCUGAGCUACAAGGAGGAGGUUAAGCUGUGUUGAACAUGUAUCCAGAGCACAAACAGAAACACCCAUUUGGAAAUGUCUGGAUUUGAUGAUGUCCAAGGUCCCUUCUUAACACGGAUAUCCUGUGAUCUCAGUGACAAGCAUAAAGAGGGAAAGAGGAACAAGUCACAAGAGAGUCCCAAAAGUUACAGCUUCUGAGAAAGAAACCAGAGGUCUGAGGAAAGGAAUACUCCAGUGUUCCUGAGAUGAAUCGAGACAGCAAACAGGAAACCAUCUUUGAAAAGCAAGAAGAAGCACCAAAGAUAAGGAAAUGGAAGCUUCAAGUGGCUGAACUGGCUUGCUGUGCACCCACAGCCAGCAAAUCUCUGGAUCAGGAUUCAAGCCACAGUCUUGUGGCUCCCUGAUGAGGCUCUAAAGCAGACAAGGCAGAGAGGAGCAGGUGAAAGAACAGAGAGGAGGGAAUGACUUACAACAGAACCAACAUGUGGCUGCUGCUGCUGCUGGUCAUCUCUAACUGACCACUUUACUGUCAGUGCCAAGCAUUGUGUCAAGCGCUGGAUCAAUAUUAUCUCACUUAAUUGUCAUCCCCGUUCUGUGAGGACAAGGAGGACAAACCAAUGUACUGUAGCUGAAAGAAACAAUUGUCAGAGGCGUGUCAUGACUGGAGAGAAUUUGAAGGGAGAGGAGGAGAGACUGCAGCUGCAGGAUGUCUGAAACCUGCAUUCAAAGGCACUGUGCUAGAGCCACAGGGAGCAAGUGCUGACUUGGUUACGCUAUCACUUCCAGGAAUCCAGCCCCCAUCCCCCAAAGUUUAUACGUGGGACGCCUACCACAGCAUGGCUGCCAAGCAGUGCCAUGUCCGCACCCGGGAUCCGAACCAGCGAACCCCGGGCCACCGAGAAGCGGAACGUGCGAACACCGGGCCGGCCCCUCUCUUUUAAACUUGAGUGGCACAAGAAAGCAGCCACCAGUCUUUCUGGGGACGUGUCCUAUCCCUUCCAGCUACAUCAUCCACACCAGCAGAGAUCCGGAACCCUAUGCAGACGACCCCAGUCCAGGUCACAAGGUGACCAUCACAGAGAAGGGAAAUAUGUUACUUGUUGACAAUACACUGAGCUCACACUGAUGGACAUGCUUAAUCUUCACUCUCCUCCUCCAAGGCUAUAUUUCUCCUGGGGGAACAUGACAUCUUUAUUUUGACAAAAUGUCCUGAGUGGGAGGUGAAGACAGACUACAGCCCUCGAGCCACCAUUUAUUUGAAACUGCCAGCCUUUUUCCUCCAGAACCAAUGAUGCAGAAGUCUUCCAAAAUUUGAACAUCAUUGUGUUAUUUAAUAGCCAAAAAUCUUAUUUUUCUCCUGAUUUAUGCUUGAUAACCCUCUUGAAAUCAUUUAAGGAUAUGUACAAAAGAUAUACUUUUAUGUAGGAUCUAGUUUGAACUCAGAAAGUUAGCAAAAUAUAAAUGAAAUGGUAGAAAAAUGGCAAUAAUGCCACCAUAUUUUGGCUAAUAUGUUCCUAUGCUAAUUAACUGGACUGAAUGUGGAAAACAUACAGAGUUCAGUGAAAGAGGACAUCUGGCCAUCCCAUCUGAACUACUUAUUAGCUCUGUGACCUUGGCUAAGUCACUUAACUUCUCUGAAUCAGUUUCCUCAUCUAUAAAAUUGAAGACACUAAUACUGAGCUUACAGUAUUAUUUGAAUUACUACUUUUACAGUGUGAACCAUACACACAUCAUCUUGUCUGAACUUCUGUCAUGCUUUAGUCAUAUUACUUUUAUAAUUACUAGUGUUUCUAUAUGUAUCAUCUCUUAUUUAGGUGAAAAUAAUUUAAUUGCUUAAUAGUUUACAGAGGGAUUCACACACAUUAGAUCAAUUGAUCUUCACAGCAACCCUGGUAAAUAAGACAGGUAGAUAUUAUUCCAUUUUAGAAGCAAGGAAGUGAGAAGCAAAGAAUUCAAUAAUUUCCCUAAACUCACACAGCUAGAAUGUAGUAGAAGGCAAUGCAAACCCGGCAUUCUGAUUCUACUCUCAUUAAUAGAGCCAUGUUCCCAGGUCAAAUGCUCACUAAAGAGAAGGGUGUAGACUUUCACUAAGACAGGACUGGGACUUCACCCUUGAAUCCACUUCCCUUCCCAUCCCAACUCCCAGGGCCUAGCGCCAUCUUUUAUUCAUAGUGGGCUCUCCACACAUAUUUGCGGAACUCAUUCAUUCACUCAAUCAUUCAAUAUUUAUUGAAUGUCUAUAUGCUAGGCACUCUGCUAAGUGCUAAGAUACUACGAUGAGAAAUACAGACUUGACUGUGCCUACAAAGACUUAUAAUAAACGGAAGGAAGGAAGGAAGGAAAGAAGGGAGGAAAGAAAGAAGGAUGGAGAGAGGGAGGAGGGAGGGGAAGCAAACUGGGCAGAUAUUCUUAAUUUUUUAAUCUGGAUAAAAUACAAAAGUUAGGUCCAGCCCAGGUCAGUCUCCAUAGUGGUGCUCAGAAAGUUCUUGGCCCCAGCCCCAGAGUAAUAUUUUUAGCAAUACUGUAAAGAUUUCUUCAAGGUGGUUUGUCGCAGGCUUUCUGGAUUGCUGGGGAGGAAAUGUGAAGGUGUGUCCGACCCGGUUGCAGAAGGUACACAUAACGGAGUGCAUCGAAGUCAGGGGAAGCUUGCUAGCUUCAUUUUCUGAUACUUCUCCUCAUCUAGAUGAGAGAAGUGUUUAUUUAGGAGUGUUCUCCCUGCCCUUGGCUUAGAAACAAGCUAUAAAUUUUACUAAUCUCAAAGAAGACCAUUUUUUUGUGUGCUUUUUCUCUUUGGUAUAAACUCAUAGACACUUGCUCUGAAAAUCAGCCCUGAGUUAUGCAUCAAUGUUUCCAAUUACAUUCCAGUUACAUGAAGUUUAACAACUCUGAAUAAUGAUUUUAGGGGCGGGGCACAGUGAUUCCCAUCCAAGGGAAGGGAAAUAACAUUCAGCACCUACCUCACAGCCAGCUCCUGUACAGCUCUAUUUUGUCACUGUUUCAUCCUUCGUACAAGACACAGCAGCCCUCAGUAAACAAAGGAUGGUAGAGCAAUACUUAAUUUCCUUAAAUUAUCCAGAAUAUCAAUUAGGAAAUUGAUUUCCUACUUUUCGUGAAAGUAUUUACAAAUGAAUAAAAUUGUGAUGUGAGUUCUCCUUUAUGCAGAAGCCAUUUUAAAAAUUGCUGAAUUCUAAUCUUUUUACAAAAAUUUUCUGCUUUUCAGAUAAUAGGCAUUGACAAGAAUUCAUUUCUUCCUGGCACAUUCACCAUGGCGUACUUGUAAACAUAAUGUACAUAAUCAGUAGAUAGAAAAAUAGCAAAGUAUAUAUCUUCUAAGAAUUUAGUGCUUGAGUAGAAUGAAUGACUUAUUAACCCGUGUUAUAGAUAAUAACUCAUGCUGCGAUACUUUCUACUGAUGAUGUUUAAACCUACAGCAGUGACCAUAGGCAUGAAAAAUUGCCAGGCCAGUCUUGCAGUCCUUUGCAACGUCUAUUUCUAGAAAUAUUUUUUAGAAGUUGGGUAUUUCUAUUUUCUACUACAUCCUCUCAGAAAACAAGUUAUACUUGUCAAUACCGAAAACUAGUUACUCUUAUUAAUGUAAAUUGCGUGAUCACAUCCUUUGGUAAUUUUAAUAAAUAAAAGACAUAAUGGCAAACCAACACCAAAA
ensembl:lncRNA